rnacentral:rRNA from 1 species
UACGAAGGGGGCUAGCGUUGUUCGGAAUUACUGGGCGUAAAGCGCACGUAGGCGGAUAUUUAAGUCAGGGGUGAAAUCCCGGGGCUCAACCCCGGAACUGCCUUUGAUACUGGGUAUCUCGAGUCCGGAAGAGGUGAGUGGAAUUGCGAGUGUAGAGGUGAAAUUCGUAGAUAUUAGGAAGAACACCAGUGGCGAAGGCGGCUCACUGGCCCGGUACUGACGCUGAGGCGCGAAAGCGUGGGGAGCAAACAGG